rnacentral:rRNA from 1 species
GUAGGGGGCGAGCGUUGUCCGGAAUGACUGGGCGUAAAGGGUGUGUAGGCGGUUUAUUAAGUUAGAAGUGAAAUACCUAGGGCUUAACCCAGGUGCUGCUUCUAAAACUGAUAGACUUGAGUGCAGUAGAGGAAAGUGGAAUUCCUAGUGUAGCGGUGGAAUGCGUAGAUAUUAGGAGGAACAUCAGUGGCGAAGGCGACUUUCUGGACUGUAACUGACGCUGAGGCACGAAAGUGUGGGGAGCAAA